ACUUUUAUAAUUUAAAGUAUAAAUUUUAUAUUUUUAAAAUUCAAUAAAAUAUUUAACUCAUAUAAAUUAUAUAAUCAUAUAAUUAUAAGAACGACUAAUAUUUUUAGAAAUUAAUCUUUUAGUUAUUAAAUAUAUAUAAAUAUAUAUUUAAAAGAUAAAACUUAUUUAAAAUA
rnacentral:tRNA from 1 species